UACGGAGGGGGCAAGCGUUAUUCGGAAUUAUUGGGCGUAAAGGGCGCGUAGGCGGCUGGACAAGUCAAAGGUGAAAUCCCUCGGCUCAACUGAGGAACUGCCUUUGAAACUGUCCGGCUUGAGGCCGGGAGGGGGUAGCGGAAUUCCCAGUGUAGCGGUGAAAUGCGUAGAUAUUGGGAGGAACACCAGUGGCGAAGGCGGCUACCUGGACCGGUUCUGACGCUGAUGCGCGAAAGCGUGGGUAGCAAACAGG
rnacentral:rRNA from 1 species